UACGAAGGGGCUAGCGUUGCUCGGAAUUACUGGGCGUAAAGGGAGCGUAGGCGGAUAGUUUAGUCAGAGGUGAAAGCCCAGGGCUCAACCCUGGAAUUGCCUUUGAUACUGGCUAUCUUGAGUAUGGGAGAGGUUAGCGGAACUCCGAGUGUAGAGGUGAAAUUCGUAGAUAUUACGGAAGAACACCAGUGGCGAAGGCGGC
rnacentral:rRNA from 1 species